rnacentral:piRNA from 1 species
UCUUCUAUCUCUAGCUGACGAUGUUGAAA